GACGAACGUUGGCGGCGUGCCUAAUACAUGCAAGUCAACUGAAAUACCGGUAGCAAUACUGGUAUGGAGGUGGCGCACGGGUGAGUAACACGUAGGUAAUCUGCCUUCAGGUCUGACAUAACCCAUCGAAAGGUGAGCUAAUAUCAGAUGAUGCAGCGGCUUGACAUCAAGACAGUUGUUAAAGCUUCGGCGCCUGAAGAUGAGCCUGCGCUGAUUAGCUAGUUGGCGGGUAACGCCACCAAGGCUGCGAUCAGUAGCUGGUCUGAGAGGAUGAUCAGUCACACUGGAACUGAGACACGGUCCAGACUCCUACGGGAGGCAGCAGGUAAGGAAUAUUGCUCAAUGGCCGAAAGGCUGAAGCAGCAACGCCGCGUGAGGGAUGAAGGGCUUUUGC
rnacentral:rRNA from 1 species